UGCAAGGGAAGCUCGGCUUCCCUUAAAAUGUCACCCCCCAAAAAAAAGAAAAAGUGGUGAAAUACGUACGGCUGUGUGUACAUUUCAUUAACUAAAUACGCACUAGAAAGCCUUCAUCUUUUGUUCAGACACUGUGAUAAGAAGCUGAUAAUUACAGGUAACCGGCAUAACUUCGUUCUCAUUCAUCCUCGCAGCGCCUCAGCGCUUUAAACAGCCGGACGCUGGGCUUCUGCUGACUUCAAUGUGGAAGCUAAAAGUGGGUUGUUCCAGCAGCGAAAUUAGACGCUCAUUGGAUAAAUGCUGGGCUUUGUCCCGCCCAAUGGAAGCUAAGCUUCACUGGAGCUCAAUGGCGAGAGGGCGGUCCCGACUUUCUCCCGGACUCCAAGCUUCUGCAUCCAUGAUUGGAUGAGCUGUCUGAGGCGAAAUCCUUUUUUGAUUGACAGCUAAACAAGCGAAUCAGCGAUCUUGAAGAAUAAAACACCUACCAGAGCAUUUUCCAAGUCAUUCUUUCCGUUGUUCUUAACUGCUCCAGAGACUUUACCGAUCCUCAGCGACUUUUGUCUUUGUUAAAAACGACUGCCGUUGUGUUUGGCGACUCUGUUCUGUUACAUACUAAUACAUAAAUACAAUUAUGAUGUAGGCCAGAAAAAUGAGCUUCCCCUCAUUGAAAGACCAGCAGCCGCCACUGGAACUAGGUAUAUACCAGUGGCGAUUGCUCUAAGACUGCAAGGGAAGCUCAGCUUCCCUUAAUGUCACCCCCCCAAAAAAAAAAGAAAAAGUGGUGAAAUACGUACUGCUGUGUGUACAUUUCAUUAACUAAAUACGCGCUAGAAAGCCUUCAUCUUUUGUUCAGACACUGUGAUAAGAAGCUGAUAAUCACAGGUAACCGGCAUAACUUCGUUCUCAUUCAUCCUCGCAGCGCCUCAGCGCUUUAAACAGCCGGACGCUGGGCUUCUGCUGACUUCAAUGUGGAAGCUCAAAGUGGGUUGUUCCAGCAGCGAAACUAGACGCUCAUUGGAUAAAUGCUGGGCUUUGUCCCGCCCAUCGGACGCUCGGCGUCUCUGGAGUUCUAUGGCGAGAGGGCGGUCCCGAC